rnacentral:tRNA from 1 species
CUAAGGAUGAUCAUAGAAUUUGAGUUCGCUCAAAUCGUUGAUCACUUAGCAACAGAUCUGUCCUUUGCAGAUCUAUAUCGACAGGUUCUUCGGAACACUGUUCGGACCAGGCCGUCCUCAUAUCUCUUCAGUCCAGUAAAAUCAAAGACAGACCACCGGUCUGGUAAGGGUCGGUAGCUCAGGUGGUUAGAGCGCACGCCUGAUAAGCGUGAGGUCGGAGGUUCAAGUCCUCCUCGACCCACCAAGCCGCAAUUUGCGAAGUCAAAUUGUCGGCAGGCGACAGGGUAUUUUGCGAAGCAAAAUGUCCCGAGAGCCAACGGUUCCACGUGAUGGGAAGCGACAGGUUGUUCGCAUGCGAAUGACCGAGAGCGGCUCUCAGGAAUUGGUCUGUAACCUUCUCGGCAGAUUUUGCCUUGCAAAAUCGCCUGUCAGGUAUCCGCGAAUUGAACAAUUCGCUUCAGGGGCCUUAGCUCAGUUGGUAGAGCGCCUGCUUUGCAAGCAGGAUGUCAGGAGUUCGAAUCUCCUAGGCUCCACCAAAAUCCAAUUCCAAGGGAAUUGGAUUGCCAACGCUUCUUCUUGACGGAAAGCGGCAGGGUAUUUGACGCAGUCAAAUGUCCCGAGAGCGGCCUUCAGGAUGCGGGAUCAAAUCAGCAAGCACUUUCGAGUGUUUGCUCAUUCGAUCCAAUCGGAUGACCCUAAUUUACAUCGUAUAGAGAGAAUACAAUAAACAACACUGUUGGUGCCACAAGUGGGUGGUUGCCUCAGUUCGGUUCUUCUUCGGAAGAAGGCUGUUUUAAGUCCCUUUCCUCGGACUUUCUACGGUAUCCCGGCUGAAACGAUAGUGUUGUCCAAGUCAAGUACACUAACCAAGGUCUGAGAGAUCAGAUCUUAUGUGCUCUUUGAUCUUGGUGAUUGACCGACAUCAAUCGCCAAAUCGUCCUCAAGUAGCCGCAAGGCGGUAGGACAUUCAAAGAGCGCGGGAAAGUAUGCUUUUGGUCCAGAUUGCCCGCGAGGGUAAGAGGUCAGAUGAACAAAAGGUCUGUCUUCUUC